UUGAGCCACCCUCCCUGUUGCUCUAGGGGUUGAGCCACCCCCCCUGUUGAUCUAGGGGUUGAGCCACCCUCCCUGUUGCUCUAGGGGUUGAGCCACCCUCCCUGUUGCUCUAGGGGUUGGUACAGGUUUAGUUACCCUCCCUGUUGCCAGAGGAUUAGAUACAGGAUCUACCUGCUAGGUGACCUUUAAACAGCAGGGAUGUGCCUUGUUUAACCUGUAGCACGGUGAGACACACCAAGACCCAGAGAUAUGGAGCAUGAGCAGGAACAAGGAUGUCUGAGACCUAGCAGGAAGGGAGGCUAGUGAGGCAGUACACACAGCCCUGUCCAGUGGAGGUCUGAGACCUAGCAGGAAGGGAGGGUAGUGAGGCAGUACACACAGCCCUGUCCAGUGGAUGUCUGAGACCUAGCAGGAAGGGAGGGUAGUGAGGCAGUACACACAGCCCUGUCCAGUGGAUGUCUGAGACCUAGCAGGAAGGGAGGGUAGUGAGGCAGUACACACAGCCCUGUCCAGUGGAGGUCUGAGACCUAGCAGGAAGGGAGGGUAGUGAGGCAGUACACACAGCCCUGUCCAGUGGAGGUCUGAGACCUAGCAGGAAGGGAGGGUAGUGAGGCAGUACACACAGCCCUGUCCAGUGGAUGUCUGAGACCUAGCAGGAAGGGAGGGUAGUGAGGCAGUACACACAGCCCUGUCCAGUGGAGGUCUGAGACCUAGCAGGAAGGGAGGGUAGUGAGGCAGUACACACAGCCCUGUCCAGUGGAGGUCUGAGACCUAGCAGGAAGGGAGGGUAGUGAGGCAGUACACACAGCCCUGUCCAGUGGAGGUCUGAGACCUAGCAGGAAGGGAGGGUAGUGAGGCAGUACACACAGCCCUGUCCAGUGGAGGUCUGAGACCUAGCAGGAAGGGAGGGUAGUGAGGCAGUACACACAGCCCUGUCCAGUGGAGGUCUGAGACCUAGCAGGAAGGGAGGGUAGUGAGGCAGUACACACAGCCCUGUCCAGUGGAGGUCUGAGACCUAGCAGGAAGGGAGGGUAGUGAGGCAGUACACACAGCCCUGUCCAGUGGAGGUCUGAGACCUAGCAGGAAGGGAGGGUAGUGAGGCAGUACACACAGCCCUGUCCAGUGGAGGUCUGAGACCUAGCAGGAAGGGAGGGUAGUGAGGCAGUACACACAGCCCUGUCCAGUGGAGGUCUGAGACCUAGCAGGAAGGGAGGGUAGUGAGGCAGUACACACAGCCCUGUCCAGUGGAGGUCUGAGACCUAGCAGGAAGGGAGGGUAGUGAGGCAGUACACACAGCCCUGUCCAGUGGAGGUCUGAGACCUAGCAGGAAGGGAGGGUAGUGAGGCAGUACACACAGCCCUGUCCAGUGGAGGUCUGAGACCUAGCAGGAAGGGAGGGUAGUGAGGCAGUACACACAGCCCUGUCCAGUGGAGGUCUGAGACCUAGCAGGAAGGGAGGGUAGUGAGGCAGUACACACAGCCCUGUCCAGUGGAGGUCUGAGACCUAGCAGGAAGGGAGGGUAGUGAGGCAGUACACACAGCCCUGUCCAGUGGAGGUCUGAGACCUAGCAGGAAGGGAGGGUAGUGAGGCAGUACACACAGCCCUGUCCAGUGGAGGUCUGAGACCU